UUCGGUAACUGACAUGUUAUACCUGCAUCUGUAUCCUGUUUGUGGAAUACAUCUUGGUUAGGCAUAUGUAAAUGCUUGGUUGUGUUCCAUAUAAUGUUGUGCUUGGUGCACCCCAUUUAGCUGCUCCAGGGUUAUGUGUCUGUAGACAAGGUUUCCUUUUCCUGUUUAAUCUUUGCUUUGCCUCUUCCAUACAUAACCAAGCAAGGUGCCACAGUGCUUAGCACUAUGUACUGAAACAAAAUGGUUCAAAUUUCUGUUUUGGCCAUCAAAAUUUAGUUUUUCUGUGAUUUCCCUAAACUGUUUAAGGCAAACAGUCGGAUGGCUCCUUUGAAAGGGCAUAACCAAAUUCCUUCUCCCAACUUUCCCCCAUUACAAGCUUGUCCUCAAUCUCUAAUGACCCCCAUUAUCAAAAGGGCUCUUUAUCUUCCGUUCACCUUUUUUAAAUUUACUUACUUAAUACCCAGGUUUAAUAAAGCAUCUGCUUCAAUGACAUUUUGAUCAAAAUAUCAUGUUCCAUUGUGCAUGUUCCAUUGUGCAGUGUACCAUGUGGCUUGUAUUUAGGAGGAGUGGGUCAAAAUUCCUAUACAACCAUCCAAAUUCACAUUGAUUGUGCGUUGUUUCAACUGUAGUAGGCCAUUUGUUUUGAAAAGAGGGAGAACUCUUGCCUUUCAUUGUUUAGACUUGUCAUACUCAUGUAACUUUCAUAUAUUUUUGGGUAAAGGCAUUCUGACUGCAAAGAAAAGUUACUGACAGGCAUCCCAUAUGCUGCCUUUGAUGAUUAUGCCAAAGAUGGCGAGUUUGUGGCUGAAAAAAAUAAUUACUGUAGAUGGGUGCUGUAAUUGUGUAUGAAAGAAAUAAAAAUAAGUGUAUAUUUUGCCUUCUUGCUUGUAUACUUUAACAAUAAUGGAAAUUUCUAGAUGGAGCAAAACAUAAAAUAAGGAAAAAACAGCCAUUCACCUACAGUGGACUGAUGGGUGAUGUACAGAAACAUAUACUAGAAAACAGCUUUCACACUAGCUUUUGAGCAAUAACACUUUAUUUCCCCCUAGCACUAGUGCACAAAUUUACACAGACAUCCAGAUAUACACUCAUGUGGUCACAGAAAGACUGCAACUGUGCAAUUUGUGUACUUGGCUGGGAAGUUGGUUAUUGCUCAAGAGCUGAUGUGAAUGGUGUCAUCUGUUAAAUGUUCCUGUGCUCCACCUAUAAAUUCACUGUGGGGGAGUGGUUGCCUUCCUCUUAUCUUGCUUAUUGCACCCUGUGUAUUUUGUUGCUGGAAACAUUCAAAAUGCUCAAAUGUCGCAUCUUAACUGACAUUACUGGUAACACACAGAUUUUUCUCUCAUAUUAUUAAUGAAAUACUUUUCUUGAUAUUACUUUAAAAUUUGUCAAUAUUACGUAAGCUGUUAUGAAACACUGUGUAAAUGUGUUAUCAGUCCAUAUUUUUAUCUAAUUCGUUUCAAAUGCUUUUAGAAUGAUUGCAGUUCACUUCCACACUGAGCAGUACAUAGGGCAUAGUGUAGCAUGUUACAGAGUGUGUUAUUUUCUAAGUAAUCAAAUGUUUGUGAAUGAAUGUGAGGAGCAAAGGAAAAGCUGUUGUUCUUUGAACCAGCUGUAAAUGGGACUGUGUUAAUGUGGCGGUGUGAUACACAAAUUGAAGUAUGCAUUGAUGGUGAAAAUAGAAGAGACAGUGAAUAGUGGAUGUCAGUCCCAUCCAAGAUCUCUUGUUGCCUCAGUCAGGCAGCUGUGUCAGGAGAGAACAGUUGGUGUUUCCGAAAGACUUUGUCAAAAAGUCUAGCAAUUUUCAGUCUUCCCUGCAUGCCUGUCUGCUGUCCACCACUCCUUGAAUUUUACAGGGUUGGCACACAGGUUUUAGUGCUUUGAGCAUCACCAGAACGAACCUCCAGAUGUCCCCAGUAAUGAUUCGCAGACGUGAAAAUAUAAUGCUUCGUCUGAGCAAUUGAAUAUGUUUAAAUAACAGGUCAGCAUCAGAUUGGAGCUUUAUGCAACAAGUAGCAUACAACUAUUAACAAAGUGUUGUGGCAUUAAAACGAAAGUGCCUUGUAAAUGAGAGCAGAUGGUACUGCAUUGGGGAAAUGAUGAAAGUGCAGAAUUACUCCAAAAUAUGCAGCUACUAAUUGUUUCUGAUAUCACUUCUGUAACAGCAACAUGAGGAAAUGAAUUGCGGCCCUGGAUUCGAGCUGUAAUUAUUAGUAGAAGAAACAAACAUCAUUAAAAAUUAUUUGUUUCUGCCAAA